UACAGAGGUCUCAAGCGUUGUUCGGAUUCAUUGGGCGUAAAGGGCGCGUAGGCUGCGGGGCAAGUCGGGUGUGAAAUCUCAGAGCUCAACUCUGAAACUGCACUCGAUACUGCUUUGCUCGAGGACUGGAGAGGAGAGUGGAAUUCACGGUGUAGCAGUGAAAUGCGUAGAUAUCGUGAGGAAGACCAGUGGCGAAGGCGGAUCUCUGGACAGUUCCUGACGCUGAGGCGCGAAGGCCAGGGGAGCAAACGGG
rnacentral:rRNA from 1 species